GAUGAACGCUGGCGGCGUGCUUAAACACAUGCAAAGUCGAAACGGAGUGCCUUUGAAAAGAGGAUUCGUCCAAAUUGAUAAGGUUACUUAGUGGCGGACGGGUGAGUAAACGCGUGAGGAACCUGCCUUGGAGUGGGGAAUAAACACAGUGAAAAAUUGUGCUAAAUACCGCAUAAAUGCAGUUGGGCCGCAUGGCUCUGACUGCCAAAAGAUUUAUCGCUCUGAGAUGGCCUCGCGUCUGAUUAGCUAGUUGGUGGGGUAACGGCCCACC
rnacentral:rRNA from 1 species